GGUAAUGUAAAUACAUGAAUUUAUGCAAUAACUUCUGUUUUUAGGUACAUUACUAAUUUUUCUAUUUCAUUUUCAUUUUUUUUAAUUCUAUGUCCGUUUCAUUCAGAGUUGAUUCUGUUUGCAUUUCAAAUAAGUGAUGUUACUUGAAAUAGAAUAGAAUAUAAAUAGUUUCAAUUCAAAGGCACCUACAAAAAUCAUCAUACUACUGUGGGGCUGACCCAGUAUUGAAGACUAUCAUUAUGAGCAUUCUCCAAAUGCCUCUUCAACACAGACAGGCACAGGUCAUCAAACAUUUCUGUAGGAAGCCUGUUCCAGUGUCAGUGUCUGACUCCCCUUGCAGUAAAUAAGUUUUUCCUAAUGUGCAGUCUGAACCUCUCGAGCUGCAGAUGUGAGCCAUUACCACAGAUUUUGUCACUUGAUACCAGGGAGAAAAGAUGAGCAGCUCCCUUUCUAUUUCCCCUCCUCAGGAAGGUGUAGAGAGCAGUGAGGUCACCCCUCAACCUACUUUUCUCCAAGCUUAAACCCAGUGUCCUCAGACGCUCUUCACAGGACAUGUCUUCCAGCUCUUUUAGCAGCUUUUUGCCCUUCUCUGGCUACUUUAAAAUAUCUUGAUAUCCUUUUAUAUUGUGGAGCUCGGAACUGCACACAGUAUACAGGGUGAAACCACACCAAUGCUAAAUACAGAUCACCUGUUUUGACCAGCUGGCUAUGCUGUUUUCAACAGCACCUCCCAGUUUAGCAUCACCAGCAAAAAUUCAACUCCUGCAUCCAUAUGAUUGAUAGAAAGCACUGAACAGAACUGGCCCCAGGACUGAGCCUUGGGGAACACCACUAAUGACUGGCUGCCAACCAGAUAUAGCCCCAUUCAAUCUGAGCUCUACCACUCAGCCAGUUCAUCACCCAGUGUAGCAUGAGCCUAUUGAUCUCACAAUUGAAUAAUUCCUCCAGAAGGAUACUGUGAGGGACCGUAUCAAAAGCCCUACUAAAACUGUAUCUACCACCUUGCCUUCCUCCACUGUGUGGACGAUCUUAUCCUAGAAGAGUAUCAAAUUAGUGAGGUAAAACUUCUGUUCAUCAAGCCAUGUUGACUGGGCCUGCUGAUUCCAUUAUCCUUUAAGUACUUUUCAGUGACACACAGGAUAAUCUCCAUAACUUUUCCAGGUUCUGAAGUUAAACUAACAGGUCUAUAAUUUCCAGGAUCUUUUCUCAAGCCCUUCCUUGUAAACUGGGAUAAGGUUGGCUAGUUUCCAGUCAGUGAGGACUUCCUCGGAAUCCCAAGACCUUUGGUAAAUUGUUGAGAGGGGUCCAGCUAUAACAUCCGCUGACUUCCUCAGUACUACAGGAUGAAUCCCAUUAGGCCCAGUGGACUUA